rnacentral:tRNA from 1 species
ACUAUUUUGGCAGAUUAGUGCGUUAAAUUUAGAUUUUAUUUAUGUAGAUUAUUUUACAAAUAGUA